AUUUUUAUUUUUCAGUUUGUAUUAUAUUUAUUAAAGUUUAAAAUUUUAGUUUAAUAAAGUGGCUUGCUCAUCCUGAUUACAGUUGAAUGUUACCAUUCUGUCGAGUAGAAGUCCACAGGAUGCAUCAUAAAACAACUUUAUUAUUCCCCCACCACUCUUCCUAUUGGGGAAGUGGGGCAGGAUUUUCCUUGCAACAUGGAUGAAAUCACAGGUAGUGGUCAUGAAUCUUCGGGUUGGUCUUUGAUAAAAAAAAUUGCUUCUUUCAAAUUUAGUUAUAAAAACUCUCUCGUUCCAAUAAUUUAAAUGUUUAUCACAGGUAGUAGCCAAUAUUCUGAGCUUGAAGUUUCUUCUCUGGAAUACUGCAGUAGGAAAGCGGACAUAGUCAACUUUUCCAUUUCCCCACUUUGUGCCUCUCUGCCUUCCCCAAACUCAUGAAUUGCAGUUUCAGGCCCUUCCAGGUAGAAGACAGGAAAGAUCUGCUUAGCUGGUCACUGCCACGCUUUGAUUUUGGAAGGUAUUCAGGUGAUCUCUUUCUCACUGCAGAGCUCUUAUGCAUUCUUUGGAGACUCUGCUUCACCAGGGAUUUCUCAUCUGAAGUUCUCUUAAUGCUGGCCUUAAUGCAAGAUCUCUUCUCCAGCAGGUAUCAAAUACAAUCUUUACCUCACACCAUCUUGUUCCCAACAGAAUACCUCCAACAUCUCUCUGCUAUGGUCACCUCAGUCCUGGCAGAUAGUUCUACAGAUUUCUUUAAGCUGACUCUCUUGCCCUUGUAGUCUACAUCCCAUCCUCAGGGCAAGACUCAUAUCCUCUAUCCUGACAAACUGAGAGUGAAGGUUGUUCCCCACAGGUGCACCUCUCACCUCUUGGCCAUUAGAACCAGCCAGCCCCAGUACCUGAGUUUUAAGGCAUGGGUCCCAAAGCAGCCCACCCUGUUCCCUACCUACCUCCCUCUUCCAAGAUGCACGGAUCAAGCUCUCUGUGUGGAACAGCACCUGCCCUUCACCCCCAGAUAUCUCAUAGGGGAUUAGGAGUGAGACUCACAGAAAAUGAAUUUCUCCGAAGAAAUCACUUCCAGACUCUUCUGUUCUUUUAUAUCUCAGAAAGGAUUGGGUUUUCAGGUUGCAAAAUCUUUUCCAGCUCUGCAUAGGUAGGUAGCAUCUCACUGAGGAAUGGAGUAUUUACCACCUAUUGUUCUGUUCCAGUCUAGUAGAGCUUUAGCAAAAACUACAGGCAACAAAUUCUAUUUUUAACAUCCUGUUACACAAACAAAUAUGCUGAGUAUGCACACAAAUAAAUGGUGAAAGAGGCACAAAGAAGUGAAAACAAUCGUGCAUGGUAGGAAUAUUUGAAUUGUAUUACAUGUCCUUUAAUAUUGUUUUAACAGUAAUAUUUUUACAUUUUCAAUUGGAAUGAAAGCAUGUAUGUGUUUGAAUAAUUUUUCAUCGUGCACUCAUUUUUUUGAUUCCACAACUAAUGAGAGAAACAGUGAUGAUUGUAAAAUGUAUCCCACCCUUAAGGAAUUCACAGUAGAAUUCCUUGUAGUUCCUGUAGAACUACAAUAAUAUAAUGUAAUAUAAUAGGUAAUAGUAUUAUAAUACUCUGUGUGUGUGUGUGUGUGUGUGUGUGUGUGUGUAAAGAGAUGGGGACUAAGGCAGGUACAGCAAAGUGCUAAGGAGUCCAGAUGGGGAUAGAUGCUACUUCUACUUCUAGCUGCAGGAGACUUCAAGGAGGGGCUGGAGGGAUGUAUCUUGAGGGAUGGAUAGCAUUUGAUUUUUCUAAGUCUUGGAGAAGAGCAUUCUGGGGGCCUGGGGGGAAGGAACAAAAGCACGUUAUAAGGAAAGUGCUAUGGAAAAGUAAUUGGGAACAAUUCAGUGGGACAGCUCUAGUAUGAAUUAAGAAAUCAAGUGGGAAAAAAUAUGUUGGGCCACAGUAGGUAGGGACAACCUCAUGUUGAUAACCCUUUAAAAAAAUUCCAGAUGUUUUUAUCCAUGUUACAUGGAGAGAAAUAUUCACCAUUACAUGUAAUUUACUAAUCUUUAAAUAAUUAUCAUAUACUUACCUCAUUUAUACAACACAUUUAACAUCUAUUAAUUUAGUAAAUGAGAUUUCUCUUAAGCACUGUUGCAAACUGAAUCCCUCUUCUCAAGUUUAAAGUAGGAGACUCUUGGAAAUAUUUUUCAAAGAGAGGACAAAAUAUGCCAAUAGAACAAUGAUUAUAAAACUGAAUAGUAUAAAAGUCAUUAAAAGGCUAAAACUUUGGAAGUAAAUUUGUGUCCACAUCAUGCCUGUCCUGAUUCUAAUUCUGGUUCUCUUUAUGCUUCUGGGUUUUUUCCCUCUUUCAUUGCUUCCUUGGGUUAUGAUUAUACUUAGCCAAGAAAGUCAGUUGACUGAAUCCAUCUUAUACCACAACCAAAC
rnacentral:lncRNA from 1 species